rnacentral:rRNA from 1 species
GACGAACGCUGGCGGCGUGCUUAACACAUGCAAGUCGAACGGUAAGGCCCUUCGGGGUACACGAGUGGCGAACGGGUGAGUAACACGUGGGUGAUCUGCCCUGCACUUCGGGAUAAGCCUGGGAAACUGGGUCUAAUACCGGAUAGGACCACUGCCUGCAUGGGUGGUGGUGGAAAGCUUUUGCGGUGUGGGAUGGGCCCGCGGCCUAUCAGCUUGUUGGUGGGGUGAGGGCCUACCAAGGCGACGACGGGUAGCCGGCCUGAGAGGGUGACCGGCCACACUGGGACUGAGAUACGGCCCAGACUCCUACGGGAGGCAGCAGUGGGGAAUAUUGCACAAUGGGCGCAAGCCUGAUGCAGCGACGCCGCGUGAGGGAUGACGGCCUUCGGGUUGUAAACCUCUUUCAGCACCGACGAAGCGCAAGUGACGGUAGGGCAGAAGAAGGACCGGCCAACUACGUGCCAGCCGCCGCAGUAA